rnacentral:rRNA from 1 species
UUUAUUUGAUAGUACCUAUCCUACAUGGAUAACAGUGGUAAUUCUAGAGCUAAUACAUGCUAAAAGCUCCAACUUCGGAAGGAGCGUAUUUAUCAGAUUCAGAACCAAUGCCCUCACGGGCUCCUUGGUGGCUCAUGAUAACUCCACAGAUCGCAUGGCCUUGCGCCGGCGAUGGCUCAUUCAAAUUUCUUCCCUAUCAACUUUCGACGGUACGGUCUUGGCCUACCGUGGUUGCAACGGGUGACGGAGGGUUAGGGCUCGACCCCGGAGAGGGAGCCUGAGAAACGGCUACCACAUCCAAGGAAGGCAGCAGGCGCGCAAAUUAUCCAAUCCCGACUCGGGGAGAUAGUGACAAUAAAUACCGAUACAGGGCUCUUUUGGGCCCCGUAAUUGGAAUGAGUACAAUUUAAACCUCUUAACGAGGAACAAUUGGAGGGCAAGUCUGGUGCCAGCAGCCGCGGUAAUUCCAGCUCCAAUAGCGUAUAUUAAAGUUGUUGUGGUUAAAAAGCUCGUAGUCGAACCUCGAGCCCGGCCGGCCGGUCCGCCUCACCGCGUGCACUGGUCUGGCCGGGCUCUUCCCUCUGCGGAACCGCAUGUCCUUUACUGGGCGUGUCGGGGAGGCAGGACUUUUACUUUGAAAAAAUUAGAGUGCUCAAGGCAGGCCAAUGCUCGGAUACAUUAGCAUGGAAUAAUAGAAUAGGACGUUGGUUCUAUUUUGUUGGUUUCUAGGACCGCCGUAAUGAUCAAUAGGGACGGUCGGGGGCAUCAGUAUUCAGCCGCGAGAGGUGAAAUUCUUAGACCGGCUGAAGACUAACUACUGCGAAAGCAUUUGCCAAGGACGUUUUCGCUGAUCAGGAACGAAAGUUAGGGGAUCGAAGACGAUCAGAUACCGUCGUAGUCUUAACCAUAAACGGUGCCGACUUGGGAUCGGGCGCUGUUCUCUCUAGACGCGCUCGGCACCAUUCGAGAAAUCAAAGUGCGUGGGCUCCAGGGGGAGUAUGGCGGCAACGCUGAAACUUAAAGAAAUUGACGGAAGGGCACCACCAGGGGUGGAACCUGCGGCUUAAUUUGACUCAACACGGGGAAACUCACCAGGUCCGGACACAAUGAGGAUUGACAGAUUGAGAGCUCUUUCUUGAUUUUGUGGGUGGUGGUGCAUGGCCGUUCUUAGUUGGUGGGGUGACUUGUCUGCCUAAUCGCGAUAACGAACGAGACCUUGACUGCUAAAUAGCACGCUCCGCCUCGGCGGUGCCGCGGCUUCUUAGUGGGACUAUCGGCUCAAGCCGAUGGAAGUUCGAGGCAAUAACAGGUCUGUGAUGCCCUUAGAUGUCCUGGGCCGCACGCGCGUGACACUGACAGAGCCAGCGAGUUUUUCCUUGGCCGGAAGGCCCGGGUAAUCUUGUGAAACUCUGUCGUGAUGGGGAUAGAGCAUUGCAAUUGUUGCUCUUCAACGAGGAAUCCCUAGUAAGCGCAAGUCAUCAGCUUGCGUUGAUUACGUCCCUGCCCUUUGUACACACCGCCCGUCGCUACUACCGAUUGAAUGGCUCAGUGAGGUCUUCGGACUGGCCCAGGGAGGCGGGCGACUGCCACCCAGGGCCGGAAAGUUGCCCAAACUCGGUCAUUUAGAGGAAGUAAA